rnacentral:rRNA from 1 species
AACGCGAAGAACCUUACCUGGGCUCGAAGCGCAGUGGACCGGGGUAGAAAUAUCCCUUUCUCGCAAGAGACUGCUGCGGAGGUGCUGCAUGGCUGUCGUCAGCUCGUGUCGUGAGAUGUUGGGUUAAGUCCCGCAACGAGCGCAACCCUUAUCCCUAGUUGCCAUCGGGUCAAGCCGGGCACUCUAGUGAAACCGCCCCGGAUAACGGGGAGGAAGGUGGGGAUGACGUCAAGUCCUCAUGGCCUUUAUGUCCAGGGCUACACACGUACUACAAUGGACGGCACAAUGAGUUGCAAACUCGCGAGAGGGAGCCAAUCUCAAAAAACCGUUCUCAGUUCGGAUUGCAGUCUGCAACUCGACUGCAUGAAGCUGGAAUCGCUAGUAAUCGCUGAUCAGCAAGCAGCGGUGAAUACGUUCCCGGGCCUUGUACACACCGGUACUA